rnacentral:lncRNA from 1 species
AAAACCUUCAUCAAGAGCAAGAACCAUAACACACCGAAGAGCAAGUGCUUCUGCAUCCUCACGCACAGUAAUGCCCUGAAAAGACCGGCGGCAACCCAUCAAACAUCUGCCCAUAUGGUCUCGCACAACGACAACAGCUGCUGAACUUGAUGAAGAAGAGAAGACUGCAUCCACAUUGAGGCAAAGCCAACCAGCCGGCGGUGGAGUCCAUUUCUGAAUAUGUUUAGGAACUGCACACACCUUGAUGAGUGAUGACUCAGCUUCAAACAAUGCAGAACUAUCAUAUCAACAUAAGCUUGUAUUUCUUGAUUGUCGCCUUGGGAGUUGGGACACACUGUAAUUUUAGAAUUUCUAGUUUCAUUUCGGGCUUCCCAGAUAUGCCAGCAGGUAACGGUCACCGCCACACGCUGCACCUCAUUGCAACGAUUUAGCAAAUCAAAAAACCACUGUUUAUCAUUACGAAGAUAUUUCCUUUGUAACUGAAAAUCAAACUGUUUUUUUGAUAACAUCCCACACAGUCAUAGCAAAAAGGCACAUUAAGAACAAUGCUCAACUUUCUCUACGCGGCCACAGAAACAACAUAUAGAGUUAGCAGGAAUAUGUCGCCUCUGAAGCUGAUGCCCCGUAGCCAAACAAUUAUGAACAGCUCGCCAAAGUAUUAUUUUUAUCUUGCUCGGAGGUUUAAUAGACCUCACAUCUUCCAAUUCUGUUCCUCAAAAGUUGAAACCAGAUCCAGGCUUACUUCGGAAGGAGGCAAAAGAAGAGAUUCUUGCAAAAUUAUACGCUGACUUCACAGAAUAUUCACCAAAUUUAGUAUAAGGCCAGGAAACAAAAUCAUCUAGCUCACUUAUAGGCAGUGGUAUCUGUUUGAUUUUUGUAACCGUAUUUGGAGCGAAAAAAAAGUAUUGACUGUGCCCUCAUCCCACUGACCUGAAACAUGAUACUUAUAGUACAGAACUAAGCUUGGUAAAAGAGAAAGCGCGUACAUUUCUGUGUGCUUUCAUUAGAGACGUGCUUAUCUUAUUUUCAUCCCAACCAUCAAUACCAAUCUCUAGAACCUGGAAAGACCGCAUCCUUCUGAACUGGUGCAAGACUGCAAGUCGCUGAUUCUGAAAGAGGGGUGCAUCCGAUUGAUACUGCAGCAGCGGAGUUGGAUCAUAUCUUGGCGCACGGAUCAUCAGAAGCAGAAUAGAGAUUGACAGUGGCAGAGCAGAAUGAUGUUGGCUGGCUACAGAGCAAGAUGUCGAGUGGUGCUGCCAGACACAUUGACAUCAAGUUUUAUGUUGUGAAAGAAAAAAUCGAGGAUCAUACCAUAAGUCUAAAGCAUAUAAGAACAAAAGAAAUUGAAAGUGCAUCUAGACCCCUAAGUGGGUUUUGGUGAGUGAAUGACAAAACGAUUAAAGGACUAACCUAUUUGCCUAACAUUGUCAGCAGGGUUUUAUUCUUAUACUCAUGUUGUAAUAUUGACUCAUGUAGUGAAUGAGUAUCAUAUGGCUCACAAUGAAGACAACAAGUAAGAAUGUGAUCCCAUGAUACAAAUAAAUGAUCAAUAACAAGCCAGAGUAAAGUGAAACUUGGGGAUAUGCUCUAUGAUGGUCGAUCUAUAAAUCUCCAAAUCUUAUGAUAGCUUGUUUGAUAAAGUAAAGGGAUCAUCAAGAAAAGAAUAGUAAUAUUCACAAAUAGAUAGUUGUAAGACUUCAUGUGCAUAUAACAAAAGGAUAUGAGCCUUUGGGUUAUUUAUUGAUCUUGUUAUUGGAAGCUUGCAACUCAUAAGAGAUUCUUUAUCAAUCAAGAAUAAGCAUUUGAAACAGAUUUCAAAUGGGAUCUCAUUGUUGAUGUCAAAUGCAAAGCUAAACUCAAACUGGCAUAAAUAGAUGAAGAGAUCAAGCAAGGGAUUUGGAAUGAAGUACUAAGCAAGGUUUGGUCAACUGGUGACUUGAGCCAUGAACGUUGCUAAGGUGAAGUGGCCAUCUGUUGAGAAUUUCAAGGUAUCAAGUCAAGCCUUACCGAGAGAAGCAAUGCAAUGCAUCUAAUCUUUUGUGAUUGGUAAAAUGGAGUGGCUUAAGGAUUCAAGUAUAUCUUAUCAUGAACAAGAAAGAAUCCUAAGUCACUAGCUCAAGAUGGAUGUGCUCAAGAUGAUAGCUAUGUCAAGAUCUCUCAAAUGACUAUUGAUCAAAGUAUGGCAUGGAUGAAGACUUUCAAGCUCAAGUGGAUGAUAUAGCGUUUAUAUUUAUUCUUGAGUAUAGGUAUGCCGUACUAUCAAGAGGCAUGCAACAUUAGCUAAUUGAUAACACUAAAAGAGCUCUUAGUUUACCUAUGUGAGUUUGGCAUUGAGAAAAACCUUUAAGUGUGGUAAAAGUUCCAUAUCAGCUAACAAUAGUUGGCUCAACCUAUGGGUGGAUAAGAGUGUGUUUUGAGAGCUUUAGGACUGACUCAGCCAGACCGGUCUGGCAUACCACUCUAACCUGUCAGGGUGUUCUCAGGGGUGCUAACUUAAGAGCUCCGGAUUAUUCCGGAAGGUUUUUCAAAAUAUUACGGAAGUUGCGGAGUUUUACGAAGAAAAUUGCAGAAAAUUCCGGAACCUUAACCCAACAACUAGUUUUUCAAACUAGACCGGUCUGACCUGUCUAAGCAACCGAUCUGACCGGUCUAACUAGUCUUCCUAAUGGCUAGUUUUUGGGCAAUGGGGUAUUGUGACGACCGACCCCAAAUCUUUCGAGUUAAUCUAAUCCGAGUCCCUGAUCCCCUAUCUCAGCUUCCCCGAGUAGAGUGCUCAACCUCCAGUCCCGGUCCCGACCCCUCUCCGCCAGUUCCCAGCUCUGACCCCUGCCGACCCCCAACUCACCCCGCCGGAUCCUUCGAAGUCUUCCCAACAGUGUCUCCCUUCAAUCUGAGCAGUGGACCAAACGAGACUGAUCGGUGGACCUGCAAAAUCUUUCCCUGAUCUCCUGGUGCAGACGCACUCGAGUGGCAUGCCCGCUUCAGAGCUUUUCCGCCGCGUGGCUCAAUUCCUCCGACCCCCGCCGCUCCGCCCCGUCGCCGGCCGCGACCGGAUGGAUUCCCGUGCCCUCUUCCCCAAUCGCAACGGAAGCUCCUAUGCUACCCUUUCUGCAACGCCUCGCAGCUCGCGCCCAUCAUCACCUCGCCGGACCCCCGGCUGCAAGGCCCGAUGCCUCCCGGCUUUUCCGCCGCCUCUCCACAGUCGCGCCGCCCCAGAUGCGCUACGCGACAAUUCCUCCUCUACCAACCCCGACCCCGGCCGCGACAGCUCCUUUUCCACCUUGCCAGAUCUGCGCCCCGACAGACCGCUGCUUCGCGCUCGCCCGCGCAGCCGCAGCCCGCCUGUCUUCUCACCUGUGCAACCUCGCCUCUAGUGCCGUUUCCCCUAUCACACCCAUCAGAUCCGCCGCACGACGAUGCCCGCCUCCGCCAAAUCUCAACCACCGGCAAAACCGCGCUGUCAUCCCCGAAGUCCUGUCCUGCCGUCCCGCUGCUCAAUCGCCGCCAUGGCAGCGCACUCCAUCGCUUCUUCCCGGUCUUCAUGCUGCUCCAGCUCUCUCUCUGUCUCUCUUCCUGCGCAGCUAUAAAAGGGAAUGCCAGAGUCCCACCAGAGUCCCCUUCACCAUCGCUGCCUUACCGUCGUUCCUCUGCUUCGUGCUCAAGCGCUGCCACCUAAGUUCUUGAGGAACUCUCCUCUCCGCUCAACACCCGCCUUUCCCAAUCCACCCAGCCGCUUGCUCCUCCGCGCUGUGCUAGAGCUUGCUUGUUGUCCACAAGAAGCACCACCACCGCCGGAGCACCGCCGGGCAUCGCCGUUGCCCAAGUCCUAGUGCUUCCAUCCUUCCGCCCAAGUCUGCUCCUUCCCGACCCCAAGCUUCACCUGUAAAUCGAAGGUAAGCUGCCGACCCUUUUUCCGCCUCGCCCGACCCUCUCUAAUCGUCCGACCCCGUUUCCGCCUCGCCCGACCUUGUCUGUCCGCCCGACCCCUUUUCCACCUCACCCGACCCUAUCCGUUCGUCCGACCCCUUUCUCCGUCUCGCCCGACCCCAUCUGUUUCGCCGACCCUUUUUCCACCUCGCCCAAGGUCUCGGCUGUAUCUUUUUCCUUGACCCGAGGGUAUAUGUGUAAAAUUGGGGAUGUGGUGGCAAGUGUGGCAAGUGUGGUCACAAAACGGCAGAGGCCGGGUCUGUGGAACCUUGCACCAAAGGAAAUAGGCCCGACACGGGUUAGGGAAUUGAUGGGGAAGGCCGACACAGGAAGCGACUUUAGUGGUGCGUGGAUGUCGUGAGGUUAGGUUCACCAUGCAUGGUUAAAGAACUCGAAUCGAUUCGUCUGCCUCUCACAGUUUGAGACUGCUUGAUCGCUAUGCUACACUGAGUAAUAAUGAAAUCUGAUGAUGACAUGGUCUUGAUGAUGCUUAUAUACCCCUCUUGGUUGGAUCUAUGUUUGCUUAGAGUAAGUUGCCAACUUAGACCGGUUAAUGAACUUAGAAUCUGAGCUGAAACUUUGAUCAUAAGGAUAUACAUAGUGCUUUUGGCAAACAAACCCCUAGCCAAAGAGCCUUGCAUGUCUAGAAGUGGUGGAGUAGUUUACUCCCGGUCGGUUAAGUCUUGUUGAGCUUAGUAGCUCAGCCUUGUUGUGGCUUUUCUUUUUCAGGUGAAGUCGCAGCUCCUGAGUCCGCUCCUGUUGGCACUUGGCCGUCCCAACUCCCUCCGGAAUGGACGGUCAAGUGGGAUCCCUCCUCGGACGGCGAGGAAAGGGAUCACUGAUGUCUUGGCUGGCCUCACCAAGGACGUCCGACCCCUACAUUUAGCUUCCGCUUAUUUUACCUUCUAUUGUUUUCUCCAGAACUUGUUAAACUCUGAUUUUUACCAAGUGUGUAACAACUUGUUAUCUACUGUUGGACCUGUUGUAUUCUCUGGAACCACUCACCUUCGUGUGGGUUUUGCUAAACUCGGUCCUGUCAAAGUGGUUAAAUCGAAUGAAAUCCGACGGCAUCUCGAGUUCGCAUGAUUAAGGCCGAGUGUCGCAUGUUAGGCGACUUAACUGUGCCUUAAUUAGGCUAAUCCGAGGUGGAUCCGCCACAACUAAGUGCCUAGAAUAAGAAUAUGUUUCAAAAUAGAAAACUGUGUUAUAGCUGUUGAAUCUAAUAGUACGUAACUGACUAUUAUGACGAGACAUGCUCCAUACACUGAUCUGUGAUAAAAUUGGUGCUAAGUUAAGUUUAAGACUAAGUUUAAGUAUGAGGUGAGAUCAAGGGGGAGAAUGUUAGUUUGAUCUCCACCCCGACCGAGUCAGACCCUAUCUCGCGCCCUGAUCGGGGACGCACACCCAAUCCAUGGUUGUGGGCCCUCGUCAUGCAGCGCAUAUAAAAAGGAGAGUGGGGCCGGGGGUGUGGCGGAACCGCCCAACUUAAGCUGGUUUAAGUGCGCCUAAUUGCUGUCGGAACAGCAAUUAUCCGAAACGCACCUAAAACAGCCUAAGUCCGGUAGUCCGUCGAGUGUCCCUAGGACUCCUCGAAGGAUCCACGACGUGUCUCAUAGCCAUACAUCAGGAUAAUAUCCGCGGUGGGAUAACAUCAACAAAUAUUACAUUUUUACAGACAUAACAAAGGUACGAUAUAUUACAACCAUAGUUUGAAACAACUUAAUCAUGCAGGUCAGCGUGGUUCUUAAGAAUUUAAAAAUAACAUUUAAGUUUUAUUCUAGAGUAUCAUGAGACUCAUAAGAUACCCUAGGUCUUCAGGGCUUCCUCUUCGGUGGGUCCCUGCUGGCUUUCUGAAAACAACAACAAGGGAUCCCCUGAGUACGAAGUACUCAGCAAGUCUUACCCGACUAACCAAUAUAAUAGUUUUUCUUUGGAAUGCAUGUCAGCCUUUGGGUGUGCUUGGUUGACACAAUUUUGCCAGAAAAGCUUACUAUAAGUGAGGCCUUAGUUUUAUCUUUUAUUUGAGUUAAGUCAUUACCUAACCAUUCUAGAUGAUAACAGAAGUAAAAGCAAUCACAGCGGUUAAAUCAUACAGUACUUGUCAACAGGAGAUUUUAUAUUGCAUGAGUUUAUAUUACGAUGCUUAACAGCGAUCAAGUGCAUUCAUAACCGAGAAUUGCGGCGAUCCGGACCAUAUUACAUCCUGUAGGAGAGUACCCUGAUCACCAGCAUUAUACGACUGUUCUGGUCGUAUCUCACAACCUCUCGAUUAGCAAAGUCAAUGAUUAGGAAUACAACUACCCGGACCCAGGGAUACACCCCCACAUGGGACCCCACGUCUGGCCUGAUCUCCAUGUGAGUUUCAGGCUACACCCCUGCCAAUCUCCAGCACGUCAAAUGCGGGUACGAAGCAUUCCUGAUCAUAGAAUUUACUAAUCUACUAGGCUUUACUGGUCCCAUACCUAGUAAGUGAUUAGAGGUUAUCACUUGAUCAAUGGUUAAGACACGGAUCGGUCCUUAACCAGAUUAAUCUAGCAGACAGAACUACAUCUCUAGCUUCUGUCUGGUUCCAUGUUCCAAACUAUCUUUCAUAAGCAACAUGUAUGACUUUAAGUGUUUGCCUUAAGGUUGGUAAACCAAGCAGGUAAGCAAGUAAGCAAUUCUAGACUUGGGUAGUUUCUAAGAUUUGAACAAGUGGCAAAGAUGUCCUUACAUCAAGGCAGGAUCAUACACAAGAAUAGGUUUCAUCCAACUCCUAGACUUAGUGCAUACAAUAAACAAAUAACCUAUAACUAGUCACAUGAAAUGACGACUCUAAAAAUAGAUAGGUAUAAAUGCACCGGGGCUUGCCUGGGAUCAACAAGGUUAGUUCUUCGGAAAACUUGUUUAUUAAAAGAGGCACUCCACACUUCGCGAACGCUGUCCAUCUCCAGCUGAAUUCCAUGAAUUCCCACUCCAGGAGUUGUGACGUCUACGAUCCAGUAUAUGCAAGAGUAGAGUUAGAGAUGCAAAUUUUUGAAUACAAGACUAUACAACUUUCCUUCAUGAUAAAGUUGCAAGCCAACAAGGACUAUAUAAUUUAUCAUGAUAAAGUUGCAAGCCAACACUCAAAAGCCCUAAAGAUUAGCCCACCAUUUUUAUUUCUUUUACUAAACCUACCUUAGACCUCUUCUUUUAUUUUUAAAAGCAUUAUACUAAUUUUCUAAUCUCAAAAACCUAAUUCUUAUGAAUUAAUAAUAAUUUGUAGAUAAUAAAGCAUUUUUCAAGUUUUAUACAUUUAAUAAGGUUUAAGCAUUUAUUUAAAUACCUUACAAAAAGGCAUUAAAUAAAUACCUAAAUUUUUAUUAUUUUUCCUAGGGUUUAAGAAUUUUAAUGCAUAAAGGAAAAUAAAACAAUCCUAAUAAAAUUGGUUUCACUAAUUUUGGGCACUUCUAGAAUUUCCGGUGAAUUAAAUGGUGAAAACAAUAUUUAAUCUAUUUAUCUAAUAAAGAAAACCUAAGGUUUAAUAAAAACCCCGGCCCAAACUUCUCUCACCUAACCUCCUUCUACCCACUAUCACUUCCACCUAGGGCCCACCCGACCUCCUACUUCUUCCCUCUUUUCUUCACUAACGCGUGGGGCCCACGGCCUAACUUUCUUCUUCUCAACCAUUCGCUGGCCCACUCUUUUCUUUCUUCUAUUUCCUCUUGGGCCGCACGGCUCGGUUCCUUCUGAAUGAAAAACGGCCCACCGGUUCUUUUCUUUUCCGCUUGACCGGCCUGUUAAUCCGGCCCACUUUCUUCCUUCUUCACUUCCCCCUGGGCCACACGGUCCAAUUUCCGUUCAAGCCAUCGGGCAGCCCACCGGCUUCCCCCUUUUCUUUUUACUCGCGCGGGUCAGCUGGGCCGAUUCCUCCCCCUUGGCCCACGAACGGACGGCUGGCCCUCAUUUCUUUUUUUUCUCACUCCCACCUGGGCUUCCCCCACCGGGACUUGGCCUCCCGGCCCAAACUCACCGACCGGCCUGCUUCCCCCCCUCCUUCUUCUUUUAUGCAGCGCGGGCCGGCUGGGCCGGUGCUUUUCUUCGGCCCAAAACGUCUGCCGGCCCUUAUCCUUUUACUUCCCUCCCUCCUGUGCAGCUGACGGGCGGCCCCCUUGGUCAGGGGGCUUCUUCCUCCCCCGACCAAGGCCGGGCGCACGCCGGCGGGAGAAGGACGGGGCAGCCCGGCCGAUGGCGGCUCUCCGGCGGCUCGAGAGGGACGGGGCGGCGGUGCCUAAGGUCAGGCGCACCCGCGCCCACCGCUAGCUCGCCGGGAGGCGGCCCGAGCCGGCCCCUCCACGGGCGGCCGCGGCUUGGCCACCGGCCGGCCAUGGCGGCGCACGGAGACGGCUCAAGAGGCUUCCACGACUCCCCCUUCAGCUUCCAAACUCUCGCAGGACGUCCCUAGGCCCGCUAAUUGAGAAGAAACAUUCGGUUCAGGGGCUCACCUUGGGGAUUGGGUGACGGCGGCCGGCGGACAGUAACGGCGGCGAUUACUGGCUUGCCGACGGGGAGAUGAACUUCGGUUGGGUUGAGGGUGUCAUAGAGGGGUUAUGGAAGCUGCUUGAUGGGUGAAACAGGAGGGGAGACAGCGGCGUGGGUGGAUUGGCCGGCAGCGUCGUCGCUUGACCGAGCUCUGGUUCGCAUGGCAGACGAAGAAGCGGAGGGUUAAACGAAUGAGGCAGAGCGAUAGAGAUGUGAGUCUUCACCGUGCAUGCGCGCCACCUUGAC